rnacentral:rRNA from 1 species
GUCUAUAGCCAUGCUACCCUGAGCAAACCCGAUCCUAUCUGUUCUCAAAAGCCAAGCAGGCUUGGGCCUGGUUAGUACUUGGAUGGGAGACCACCUAGGAAGACCAGGUGCUGUAGGUG